AUUGAACGCUGGCGGCAGGCCUAACACAUGCAAGUAGAACGAGUGGCGGACGGGUGAGUAAUGUCUGGGAAACUGCCUGAUGGAGGGGGAUAAGUACUGGAAACGGUAGCUAAUACCGCAUACCAUCGGAUGUGCCCAGAUGGUAUUAGCUAGUAGGUGGGGUAACGGCUCACCUAGGAGGCGAACCCUAGCUGGUCUGAGAGUAUGACCAGCCAAACUGGAACUGAGACACUGUCCAGACUCCUACGGUAGGCAGCAGUGGGGAAUAUUGCACAAUGGGCGCAAGCCUGAUGCAGCCAUGCCGCGUGUAUGAAGAAGGCCUUCGGGUUGUAAAGUACUUUCAGCGGGGAGGCGUUACCCGCAGAAGAAGCACCGGCUAACUCCGUGCCAGCAGCCGCGGUAAUUC
rnacentral:rRNA from 1 species